CGUGAGUGAUGAAGGCUUUCGGGUCGUAAAGCUCUGUCAAGUGGGAAGAACCUGUUAGAUACUAAUACCAUCUAGCACUGACGGUACCACUAAAGGAAGCACCGGCUAACUCCGUGCCAGCAGCCGCGGUAAUACGGGGGGUGCAAGCGUUAUUCGGAAUUAUUGGGCGUAAAGGGCGCGUAGGCGGUCUCUGAAGUCAGAUGUGAAAGCCCGGGGCUUAACCCCGGAAGUGCAUUUGAAACUUAGGGACUUGAGUAUGGGAGAGGGAAGUGGAAUUCCUGGUGUAGCGGUGAAAUGCGUAGAUAUCAGGAGGAACACCAGUGGCGAAGGCGACUUCCUGGACCAAUACUGACGCUGAGGCGCGAAGGCGUGGGGAGCAAACAGGAUUAGAUACCCUGGUAGUCCACGCAGUAAACGGUGAACACUAGGUGUAGCGGGUAUUGACCCCUGCUGUGCCGCAGC
rnacentral:rRNA from 1 species